ensembl:lncRNA
UGGGGUGAUAUCCAGUGGAUCAGUGUCUUUGUUAGAGGAAACACCAAAGAGUCUGUUUUCACUCUUUCUCUCUUCCACGGAGGAUGCACUGAGGAGGUGGCUGUCAACAAGUCAGGAAGAGAGCUCUUACCGGAAACCUAAAAGACAAAAGUGAGCCUAUGGAUGAAGGGCACUAGUGCCCAGAGCUGACUGGGGCCAAGGAAAGUGAAGAUAGCUAUACAGUGGACACAUCGCCUUGGUACCUUAGAGAGCCCUCAAGCAGACCAGCUCAAGCACUUGAACAGAGCAUUCCUCUUCAGGGGAUGGAAACCAUGAUCCUGAUCAAGAAGCAUAAACGAGGAAAUUGAAAAUCCCACAUUGUUCUAUUUCCGAGUGAAAAGCUUUGAUUCACCACUAGAGGACACUAUUCACCCUCUCAUCUUUCUGAAGGCGUCAGCCCAGCAGGGCUCGUUUUCAAGUGAAAAUAACUGCAUUUACUAAGGCUUGUGAUUUGUUUAGAAAUAAAAAGCAGCACCCCCAUGAUUCUGAGCAGAUUUACCCCCGUAAAGCUCCUGUUGAUUGUGAUGCAAAGUCUUUAACUGCAUCAAAUGUAAACUGGAAAAAUUCAGCAAAUUAGGAUUGCCUGUGCAACUAUACAUAAAAUACACUUCAU